rnacentral:lncRNA from 10 species
UGCAAUCACCAAGCAGAAAAGAUAUCCGGAUGUUCUAUUAAGGGGUAAGCCAGCUACCAUACUGUGAAAACACUCAAGCAGCAUCACUGAAGGACCUGCAUGGAGAGAAAUUGAGGUCUCCACUCAACUAGCAAGUACCAUAUUCCCAGCCAUGCAUAUGAGUUACAUUGGAAGUGAAUCAGCAGCUCCCUUCCAGCCUUCAGAUGACUAUAGCAGCAGUUGACAUUAAACAACAAUCUCACAAGACACACCCAGAAAAGAAGCACCUGCUGAUUUUCUGCUUUAUCAAGAAACACCUGCUGCUUUAUCAAGAGUGAGUAGAGACCUGCAGCAGUUACUGGAUGCUGUUAAAGUUUCCACUACAGAUGCAAGAAAAGUGUCCCACACUUUCUGUCUGUCUGAUUGUGACAGCUAAGAUUAAAUCAGAUACGUUGAACUUUUUAAUGUGAAAGAAAACUGGAGAGUGAAAAUAUAUCUUAGUGAAUGAAGUCUAUAUCAGGAGGUACCUAAUCCUAAAGCAUACUGUUAUGAAAAUGAAUGCAUGAAUAAAUGUAAUGCUAAUAUUUUUACACUUUUGGCUACAUUAUUUAGUAUUAAAAAAUAGUAUUGAAAAUAUUCAACCAGAAAAUGUAGCAAAUCCUCAAAUUUGUAAAAUUAUAAAAGGUAACGGUAAUCAAUGUUGGACGCACAAGUUUGAAAACAAUAUAGAAACUACUACAAUGCCAUAUAAUUUUUCACAAUGAUUUCUCAUGCAAUUUUUUAUUUCCUAAAUUCUGUUGAUAAUAAAACUAUUAUAAAAUAUAUAAUAAGUUCCCAUAAUCGGUGUCAUGUUAAUUUUUCAACAAUAUAUUUUUUGGUUUUAAAAUGUUCUAAUGUUACUGAUUGGACUCCGGUAAAGACUCCAAGAUGGCGACCGGCA